GACGAACGCUGGCGGCGUGCUUAGCACAUGCAAGUCGAACGGAAAGGCCCUGCUUUUGUGGGGUGCUCGAGUGGCGAACGGGUGGGUAACACGUGAGUAACCUGCCCUUGACUUUGGGAUAACUUCAGGAAACUGGGGCUAAUACCGGAUAGGAGCUCCUGCUGCAUGGUGGGGGUUGGAAAGUUUCGGCGGUUGGGGAUGGACUCGCGGCUUAUCAGCUUGUUGGUGGGGUAGUGGCUUACCAAGGCUUUGACGGGUAGCCGGCCUGAGAGGGUGACCGGCCACAUUGGGACUGAGAUACGGCCCAGACUCCUACGGGAGGCAGCAGUGGGGAAUAUUGCACAAUGGGCGGAAGCCUGAUGCAGCAACGCCGCGUGCGGGAUGACGGCCUUCGGGUUGUAAACCGCUUUCGCCUGUGACGAAGCGUGAGUGACGGUAAUGGGUAAAGAAGCACCGGCUAACUACGUGCCAGCAGCCGCGGUGAUACGUAGGGUGCGAGCGUUGUCCGGAUUUAUUGGGCGUAAAGGGCUCGUAGGUGGUUGAUCGCGUCGGAAGUGUAAUCUUGGGGCUUAACCCUGAGCGUGCUUUCGAUACGGGUUGACUUGAGGAAGGUAGGGGAGAAUGGAAUUCCUGGUGGAGCGGUGGAAUGCGCAGAUAUCAGGAGGAACACCAGUGGCGAAGGCGGUUCUCUGGGCCUUUCCUGACGCUGAGGAGCGAAAGCGUGGGGAGCGAACAGGCUUAGAUACCCUGGUAGUCCACGCUGUAAACGGUGGGUACUAGGUGUGGGGUCCAUUCCACGGGUUCCGUGCCGUAGCUAACGCUUUAAGUACCCCGCCUGGGGAGUACGGCCGCAAGGCUAAAACUCAAAGGAAUUGACGGGGCCCCGCACAAGCGGCGGAGCAUGCGGAUUAAUUCGAUGCAACGCGUAGAACCUUACCUGGGUUUGACAUGGAUCGGGAGUGCUCAGAGAUGGGUGUGCCUCUUUUGGGGUCGGUUCACAGGUGGUGCAUGGCUGUCGUCAGCUCGUGUCGUGAGAUGUUGGGUUAAGUCCCGCAACGAGCGCAACCCUUGUUCACUGUUGCCAGCACGUUAUGGUGGGGACUCAGUGGAGACCGCCGGGGUCAACUCGGAGGAAGGUGGGGAUGACGUCAAGUCAUCAUGCCCCUUAUGUCCAGGGCUUCACGCAUGCUACAAUGGCUGGUACAGAGAGUGGCGAGCCUGUGAGGGUGAGCGAAUCUCGGAAAGCCGGUCUCAGUUCGGAUUGGGGUCUGCAACUCGACCUCAUGAAGUCGGAGUCGCUAGUAAUCGCAGAUCAGCAACGCUGCGGUGAAUACGUUCCCGGGGCU
rnacentral:rRNA from 1 species